rnacentral:lncRNA from 1 species
GCUUUCUCUGAAGCGGCAACACCGCCACCAUGGCAAUGGCAACCACACCUCACUCCCUCCUCCUCCAAAACCCAAAUACCAAUUUUCUCAAAAACCCCAAAACGCAAUUCGCCACCAUCCCCAUGACCGCCACCCGCCUCACCACCACCUCCACCACCCUAAACCCCGCCAAACCCAUCUCCGUCAAAUGCUCAGCCACCACCACCCACAUCCAAGAUCGAUCGCCUGCCCAGUCCGAAUCCCAAGAUCGGGUCUUCAACUUUGCUGCGGGACCCGCCGUUCUUCCCGAACACGUCCUCCGGAAGGCCCAAUCGGAGCUCUACAACUGGCGCGGAUCUGGGAUGAGCGUCAUG